rnacentral:rRNA from 1 species
UACAGAGACUGCGAGCGUUAUUCGGAUUCACUGGGCGUAAAGGGUGCGCAGGCGGCCGUGUGUGUGAGGCGUGAAAGCCCGGGGCUUAACCCCGGAAUUGCACCUCAAACUACACGGCUAGAGCAUUGGGGAGGGUAGCGGAAUUCACGGUGUAGCAGUGAAAUGCGUAGAUAUCGUGAGGAACACCAGAGGCGAAGGCGGCUACCUGGACAAUUGCUGACGCUCAGGCACGAAAGCGUGGGGAGCAAAAGGG